GAUGAACGCUAGCGGGAGGCCUAACACAUGCAAGCCGAGCGGUAGAGUCUCUUCGGAGACUUGAGAGCGGCGCACGGGUGCGGAACACGUGUGCAACCUGCCUUUAUCUGGGGGAUAGCCUUUCGAAGGGAAGAUUAAUACCCCAUAAUAUACUGGAUGGCAUCAUCUGGUAUUGAAAACUCCGGUGGAUAGAGAUGGGCACGCGCAAGAUUAGAUAGUUGGUGAGGUAACGGCUCACCAAGUCAGCGAUCUUUAGGGGGCCUGAGAAGGUGAUCCCCCACACUGGUACUGAGACACGGACCAGACUCCUACGGGAGGCAGCAGUGAGGAAUAUUGGACAAUGGGUGAGAGCCUGAUCCAGCCAUCCCGCGUGAAGGACGACGGCCCUAUGGGUUGUAAACUUCUUUUGUAUAGGGAUAAACCUAGAUACGUGUAUCUAGCUGAAGGUACUAUACGAAUAAGCACCGGCUAACUCCGUG
rnacentral:rRNA from 1 species